rnacentral:rRNA from 1 species
AUCGAACGCUGGCGGCAGGCCUAACACAUGCAAGUCGAGCGCAGCGGCGGACGGGGGAGGAAUGCCUAGGAAGCUGCCCGGUAGUGAGGGAUACAGUCGGGGGACGGGCGCUAUUAACGCAUACUUUAAGAUGAGCCUCGGUUGGAUUAGCUGGUUGGUGGGGUAAAGGCCUACCAAGGCGACGAUCCGUAACUGGUCUGAGAGGAUGAUCAGUCACACUGGAACUGAGACACGGCCCAGACUCCUACGGGAGGCAGCAGUGGGGAAUAUUGGACAAUGGGCGAAAGCCUGAUCGAGCCAUGCCGCGUGUGUGAAGAAGGUUUUCGGAUUGUAAAGCACUGUAAGUUGGGAGGCGUUACCAAAAGAAUAAGCAACGGCUAACUACGUGCCAGCAGCCGCGGUAAUUC